AGCAACCGACUUGUGCGAAAGGAGGGAACGUGUGGGUCUGCCAGGGUCCUGCAGGGGGGAUGAGACCCUCGCUCCGCUCCGGCGAUCCCUUCGCUCUCCACCCUCGGCCAGCCCCUCCUGUCCUCCAUCAGGCCUCGCUGAGGAUACCUCCUGGGUUCCAAAGCGCGAGUUGAACCUGAGCUUGACAUUCAUUCCGUCUCGUACAAAAGCCAUGCCUGCGGGGAGAGGGAGAAAAUUUCCUACAGGAGCCUCAAGACUGCGUUUCAGGAAGCCCUAGGACCCACUGAUCCUGCAGCUGCGCCUCUCACUCGCCUCAGGAAAGGGAAUUCCCUGACCCCCUGCAAUUCCCAGGUGAGGUGAUGCCUCACCCUGCUUUGGCUCACACUCGGUGCACUGCACCCACUGUCCUGCACCCACUGUCUGACACUCCCCAGUGAGAUGAACCUGGUACCUCAGUCGGAAAUGCAGAAAUCACCCAUCUUCUCCGUCGCUCACGCUGGGAGCUGUAGACUGGAGCUGCUCCUAUUCGACCAUCUUGGCUCCACCCUCACUGCCACCUAACUUUUCAACUGGAAAUGAUUACUCUGUAAAGCAAUGACAUAAUAAAAUACAAAUAUUAAGAAAAUAGUCUGACAGAAUUCUAUCUGCCUUUUAAGGGAUAAAUUUGUACAAUUGAAAUUAUAUGCUAAUGGAUUGAUAUCAGUAUUUGGCAGUUCUCUUAAAUGUGAAAAGCUAUUUCAAAGACAAAAUCUGUAAAAUCUCGUUUCAGAUCAGCAUUAACAGAUGAGCAAUUAUUUAUGAUGAGCACAACUUUGAACACUGAUUACAUAAAAUGUUAAUAAAAUAAUUAUCAAAUUGUACUUGA
rnacentral:lncRNA from 1 species